UACGGGGGGUGCGAGCGUUGUCCGGAAUCACUGGGCGUAAAGGGCGCGUAGGUGGCGUCGUAAGUCUGUGGUGAAAGCCCGGAGCUCAACUCCGGGUCUGCCGCGGAUACUGCGAGGCUUGAGUGCUGUAGAGGGGGGUAGAAUGCCGGGUGUAGCGGUGGAAUGCGUAGAGAUCCGGCAGAAGACCGGUGGCGAAGGCGGCCCCCCUGGGCAGUAACUGACACUCAACUACGAAAGCGUGGGGAGCAAACAGG
rnacentral:rRNA from 1 species